rnacentral:sRNA from 1 species
UAUUCUGCCCUACGGGGAAGGAUGAGAAGCUUCGACCAAGGUUCGACUCGAGCGUAGCGAGAGAACGUUGCCGAAGGCAACGGCCCGAAGGGCGAGGCGCUUUAGCGCCGAGUCAUCCUUCCCCCACCGCUG